CUUCAUUCAAACUUUAGGCCAAAAUUAAUUAAAACUUAAAUCCUAAACAAAUCCUAAUAAAAUCCUAAAUCCUAAAUCAAAUCCUAAAUUUUAAAUCAAAUCCUAAACCCUAAAUAAAAUCCUAACAAAAUUUUAAAUCCUAAACCAAAUCCUAACCAAACCCUAAACCAAAUCCCAACCAAAUUCUAACCCUAAAUCAAAUCCUAA
rnacentral:lncRNA from 1 species